GACGAACGCUGGCGGCGUGCUUAACACAUGCAAGUUGAACGGAAAGGCCCGCUUGGGGGUACUCGUGUUGCGUACAGGUGAGUAACACGUGAGUAACCUGCCCUUGACUUCGGGAUAACUUCAGGAAACUGGGGCUAAUACCGGCUAGGAAUCCUUGCUGCAUGGUGGGGGUUGGAAAGCUUCGGCGGUUUUGGCUGGACUCGCGGCUUAUCAGCUUGUUGGUGGGGUAGUGGCUUACCAAGGCUUUGACGGGUAGCCGGCCUGAGAGGGCGACCGGCCACAUUGGGACUGAGAGACGGCCCAGACUCCUACGGGAGGCAGCAGGGGGGAAUAUUGCACAAUGGGCGGAAGCCUGAUGCAGCAACGCCGCGUGCGGGAUGACGGCCUUCGGGUUGUAAACCGCUUUCAGCAGGGGCGAAGCUUGUGGUGACGGUACCUGCAGAAGAAGCACCGGCUAACUACGUG
rnacentral:rRNA from 1 species